UUCCAAGGUGUCGAAGCAUCAACCUAUGCUAAGGUCUAAACACUCUUGGCUCCAACGAGGCUACCAUGCAUGUAGAUCGGCAGCGGUGUCCACGACAUCAGUGGCUAGCUCAGAGCUGCUGAUUGAUGGGUGGAUUCAUCGGCUCGCAAGUCGUGGUCCUCGAGUUGUUGACUGACCAUGUGCAAGCGGACACACAACAACGCACUUCCUGCUCUGUGGUUCAAGAAUCAAGAUACACCGGCAACCGGGAAACGAGGAACUACAGAUGAACACCGCAACAGGAGCAACACAUAAUGUCAGCUUGCAGAUUUUGGUCAGUUCAAUUGCACAUUGCCGGGUAUGCAUUUCAGUUAGGUACUCGAAAUAGUAACUGAAAUGAUGGAUAAGGAAAACGUUGACAGCACUAGAGUGGCAUCAACACAUAUUUGGAUAGGCCAAGUUGGUGACCUUCUAGCGCUUACAUUUGUGCUAGCUCCAGUACUGACACCAAGAUAAGUCUGCGAGGAAACAUAGGGCAUGCACUGGGAUGAAAUCAUGUUGAUAUGUGCUGACAUGUUAUCUGGUUGUCAAACAACGAAGUACGCGUUACAAAGAAUAAUACAGCUGUGCAGGGUUGCCUUGUGGUCGAGGGUGGUGGAUGCCGGGACGGCGGCCCCGGACGGUUGACGUGCGCUGAGGCGCCAUGGCUGUGUGGUACUCGAGGACAGGCUCCCCCGGAGAAGAUUGCGGCUUUCGCAGACCAUCCACGAGCCAAUGAGGCCGUUCGUUCAGAGGAGUGCACUCUCGAGUUGAAGUGUUGAACCUAGAAGACCCUCGAUGGACAAAGAGGGGCUGAGAUAGGAAGAUUUUAGUGGAGAUUCGUUCGUCUGCUGAGCUCUGUCGAAUCCGGGAACCACACAUGCUGCUGCUGCCGCCGGAUACCUCCGAGUGUAGAACUAUUGCCGAUGCCGCCGAAAACACUACACCUCCUCCCCCGCAUGUUUGGCUGCAGGCACCACAUCUACAUCAAUCUGACUCAAUGCAUCAUGUAUUUUUCUUUACCAACAUUCUGCAACUCCUUUGAAUCUGCACACACGAUUUCAUAUGUUGCUCUGUCUUACAUGUGUUAGUUGUUGAAUUAUCUUUGAAGUAUUAAGUAAAAUCCAUGCACGCUACCUAGAUAAAGUAAAGGUAAAUAAUUCU